rnacentral:rRNA from 1 species
AAUGUUUUAGUGGCGGACGGGUGAGUAACGCGUGGGCAACCUGCCUUACACCGGGGGAUAACACUUAGAAAUAGGUGCUAAUACCGCAUAACAGGAGAACAUGCAUGUGUUUUCCUUGAAAACCACGGUGGUGUAAGAUGGACCCGCGUCUGAUUAGCUUGUUGGCAGGGUAACGGCCUACCAAGGCGACGAUCAGUAGCCGGCCUGAGAGGGUGGACGGCCACAUUGGGACUGAGACACGGCCCAGACUCCUACGGAAGGCAGCAG